rnacentral:rRNA from 1 species
AGCAGUCGCCACGGGAAUACGAAGGGGGCUAGCGUUGCUCGGAAUCACUGGGCGUAAAGGGUGCGUAGGCGGGUCUUUAAGUCAGGGGUGAAAUCCUGGAGCUCAACUCCAGAACUGCCUUUGAUACUGAAGAUCUUGAGUUCGGGAGAGGUGAGUGGAACUGCGAGUGUAGAGGUGAAAUUCGUAGAUAUUCGCAAGAACACCAGUGGCGAAGGCGGCUCACUGGCCCGAUACUGACGCUGAGGCACGAAAGCGUGGGGAGCAAACAGGAUUAGAUACCCCUGUAGUCCCUGUCUCUUAUAC